UACAGAGGGGGCGAGCGUUGUUCGGAAUUACUGGGCGUAAAGGGCGCGUAGGCGGCCCGCUAAGUCGAACGUGAAAUCCCCAGGCUCAACCUGGGAACUGCGUCCGAUACUGGCAGGCUUGAAUCCGGGAGAGGGAUGUGGAAUUCCAGGUGUAGCGGUGAAAUGCGUAGAUAUCUGGAGGAACACCGGUGGCGAAGGCGGCAUCCUGGACCGGUAUUGACGCGUGAGGCGCGAAAGCUAGGGGAGCAAAGCGGGG
rnacentral:rRNA from 1 species